rnacentral:rRNA from 1 species
UGGGGAAUCUUCCGCAAUGGACGAAAGUCUGACGGAGCAACGCCGCGUGAGUGAUGACGGCCUUCGGGUUGUAAAGCUCUGUUAAUCGGGACGAAUGGUUCUUGUGCAAAUAGUGCGAGGAUUUGACGGUACCGGAAUAGAAAGCCACGGCUAACUACGUGCCAGCAGCCGCGGUAAUACGUAGGUGGCAAGCGUUGUCCGGAAUUAUUGGGCGUAAAGCGCGCGCAGGCGGAUUGGUCAGUCUGUCUUAAAAGUUCGGGGCUUAACCCCGUGAUGGGAUGGAAACUGCCAAUCUAGAGUAUCGGAGAGGAAAGUGGAAUUCCUAGUGUAGCGAUGAAAUGCGUAGAUAUUAGGAAGAACACCAGUGGCGAAGGCGACUUUCUGGACGAAAACUGACGCUGAGGCGCGAAAGCCAGGGGAGCGAACGGG